AUGCGUUCAUCUCGGGACCUCCGGCUCGCCGUGCUCCUCCUCCUCUUCUCGGCGUCCGUCCUCCUCCCGGUAGCCAGAGCCCAGCAGGAAACCGAGGAGGAGGAGGAGUUCAGCUACUCGCUGGACGCGGAGAAUGGGCCUGCGCACUGGGGCGACAUCAAGGAGGAGUGGUCCGCAUGCGGCAAGGGCAACAUGCAGUCGCCCAUCGACCUCGCCAGCCCGCGCGUCUCCCUCGUGCGCGGCCUCGGCUACCUCAACCACUCCUACCACCCUGCCAACGCCACCAUCGUCAACCGCGGCCACGACAUCAUGCUCAAGUUCGAGGGCGACGCCGGGAGCGUCUCCAUCGGCGGCACGCCCUACUUCCUCCGGCAGCUGCACUGGCACUCCCCCACCGAGCACAGCGUCAACGGCCGCCGGUACGACAUGGAGCUCCACAUGUUCCACGAGAGCGCUCAGGGCAAGGCCGCCGUGAUCGGCGUCUUCUAUGAGAUUGGUGCCCAUGACGCCUUCCUGCACAAGCUGGAGCCAUACCUGGAGAUGAUAGCGGAUCGCAAGGACAGAGAGGAGAAGAUGGGCAUGAUGGAUCCCAGGGGCGCCAGAGGAAAGGCCAGCGUGUACUAUCGCUACGUGGGCUCCCUCACCACCCCACCCUGCGCGGAAGGGGUCAUCUGGACCAUCGUCAAGAGGGUGCGCACUGUGUCGAGGCACCAGCUGGAGCUUCUCAGGGAGGCCGUUCACGACGACAUGGAGAAGAACGCGAGGCCCCGUCAGGAGGUGAACAGCAGAGAUAUCAGCAUGUUCCGACCUUUUGAGCAAAAUAGACAUUGA
rnacentral:rRNA from 1 species